AAUGGUUGUGUUUAGAUCCUAUCCCAUUCGGAACGAUUAUUUUUAUUUGCGUAUUUUGCCGAACAACAUUUAAAAACAUUUACGGAGCAAUAUUAAUAACAACAUAUCACACGUGCCUUGUUUGAUAGAUAUAUAUCUAUAUUUGUUACUAUAAUUGCUUUAUUACGUGGUAUUCAUUUUGUUAACUUCAUUGCUUUUACAGUGGGUUACUCUAUUAAUUCAUGGAUUUAGUAGUUCUUAAAGUUGCUGUUAAGUUCAAUCGAAGCACAGAAGCUGCACAAAAAGCGAAAUAGAAAUGAAGUUUUUGUUAUGGUUUCAAAAGUCGUUGGAUUGUGUGAGUAACAGCCGAUUAUAUUCUCAGAAAUACGCUACCAACGAUAAUGCUCCUGAGUUGGACAAUAUAUUUGUUUCUCCGUUUAAUGUUUCUUUGUACUUAGUGGUUUGCUUUUAUAUAAAAAAAAACUUAUUCUGUUGUUUA